GAUGAACGCUGGCGGCGUGCUUAACACAUGCAAGUCGAGCGGAGUUAUUUAGAAGCUUGCUUUUGAAUAACUUAGUGGCGGACGGGUGAGUAACGCGUGGGUGACCUGCCUUAUACUGGGGGAUAACACUUAGAAAUAGGUGCUAAUACCGCAUAAGCGCACAGUUCGUGCAUGGAACAGUGUGAAAAACUGAGGUGGUAUAAGAUGGACCCGCGUCUGAUUAGCUAGUUGGUGAGGUAACGGCCCACCAAGGCGACGAUCAGUAGCCGGCCUGAGAGGGUGAACGGCCACAUUGGGACUGAGACCACGGCCCAAAACUCCUACGGGAGGCAGCAGUGGGGAAUAUUGCACAAUGGGGGAAACCCUGAUGCAGCGACGCCGCGUGAGUGAAGAAGUUAUUCGUAACGUAAAGCUCUAUCAGCAGGGAAGAAAAUGACGGUACCUGACU
rnacentral:rRNA from 1 species